rnacentral:rRNA from 1 species
GAACGCUGGCGGCGUGCUUAACACAUGCAAGUCGAACGAACCUUCGGGUUAGUGGCGGACGGGUGAGUAACGCGUGGGAAUCUGCCCUCAGGAGGGGGAUAACGGUUGGAAACGGCCGCUAAUACCCCAUAUGCCGAGAGGUGAAAUGAAUUUCGCCUGAGGAUGAGCCCGCGUCUGAUUAGCUAGUUGGUGAGGUAAGAGCUCACCAAGGCAUCGAUCAGUAGCUGGUCUGAGAGGAUGAUCAGCCACACUGGGACUGAGACACGGCCCAGACUCCUACGGGAGGCAGCAGUGGGGAAUUUUCCGCAAUGGGCGAAAGCCUGACGGAGCAACGCCGCGUGAGGGAUGAAGGCCUCUGGGCUGUAAACCUCUUUUAUCAAGGAAGAAGAUCUGACGGUACUUGAUGAAUAAGCCACGGCUAAU